rnacentral:rRNA from 1 species
AUUGAACGCUGGCGGCAUGCUUUACACAUGCAAGUCGAACGGCAGCGCGGGCUUCGGCCUGGCGGCGAGUGGCGAACGGGUGAGUAAUGCAUCGGAACGUGCCCAGGAGUGGGGGAUAGCCCGGCGAAAGCCGGAUUAAUACCGCAUACGACCUGAGGGUGAAAGCGGGGGACCGAAAGGCCCCUCGCUAUUGGAGCGGCCGAUGUCGGAUUAGCCAGUUGGUGGGGUAAAGGCUUACCAAGGCGACGAUCCGUAGCUGGUCUGAGAGGACGACCAGCCGCACUGGUACUGAGCCGCGGCCCAGGCUCCUACGGGAGGCCGCAGUGGGGAAUUUUAGACCAUGGGGGCAACCCUGCUCCAGCCCUGCCGCGUGCGGGAAGAAGGCCUUCGGGUUGUAAACCGCUUUUGUUCGGGAUGAAAUCCUCUGGGCUAGUACCCCGAGGGGAUGACGGUACCGGGAGAAUAAGCACCGGCUAACUACGUG